AAACCACUAAACAGCCCGGUUUGUAGAGUUUUUUUGUUUGUAAGUGCAGUUCAUGCCCAUCUCUACUUAUAAUUUUAGGCAAAUGAGUGAAGUGUUUUUUAACAGCCCGGUUUGUGGGUUUUUGUUUUUGUUUUUGUUUUUGUUUAUUUUAUUUUUUUUUGUAAGUGCAGUUCAUGCCCAUCUCUAGUUAUAAUUUUAGGCAAAUGAGUGAAGUUUUUUUUAACCUAGUGAAACAGAGAACUUAGAAAGGAAAAUUUGAAAGCCAGAGUCGUGUGACCCAGUAUGGGACAGAUUCCUGCUGAGAUUUCUUAUGGCAAUUAACAGCCAAAAGUUACACCUUUUGUGUAAUUGUGCGACAGGAUUUCAGCUAAUAUGUGAGAAAGCUUCUAAGAAGGCGUCUCCUAACCAUACUGUCUCCACCAAAAUGAAAAAUUUGCAGUGCAGCCAAAAAUAUGUUGAGAGAUUGAUGGAAGAAGUGAUCAUACACCAUAUUUCUUUUGCCACAUGUGUAUGGUUAGCCGCCUAGAGUGGUCCUGACACGACCAGAUAGGCGGGAUAUAAAUAAAAUAAAAUAAAAUUAAAAUAUACUUAUUUAU
rnacentral:lncRNA from 1 species